GAAUAGAGGCGUAAGUAACAGAAUCAAAGGACUUUGUGGGCAGUUGAGUUUCAUCAGAACUGGAAGCCAACUUGGUUCUGAGUUGAGCAUUGGAGUAGGUGGGGUCAUCAGAGAGGACUGUGGGUAAUUGAGUUCCAUCAGAACUGGAAGCUAACUUGGUUCUGAGUUGAGCAUUGGAGUAGGUGGGGUCAUCAGAGAGGACUGUGGGUAAUUGAGUUCCAUCAGAACUGGAAGCCAACUGGGUUCUGAGUUGAGCAUUGGAGUAGGUGGGGUCGUUAGAGAGGACUGUGGGUAAUUGAGCUGUUGCGUAAACGGUACUGAGGGCAGACUCAGCGGUCCCGGAGUUAGCAUGUAAGCUAACGUCUUUAAUUUCAUCAUAGGUGGCUUCUGCGUCAGUAACCUGAAGGAGGAGACAAUAGAUGGGGGGUGGGGGGGGGGCGGGGGCUUCAAAUGUAUAAACUGUCUGCAACAUGCAGCCUAAAACAUUAGCAGUAUGCA
ensembl:lncRNA